rnacentral:rRNA from 1 species
AGUGAACGCUGGCGGUAGGCCUAACACAUGCAAGUCGAACGGCAGCACAGUAAGAGCUUGCUCUUACGGGUGGCGAGUGGCGGACGGGUGAGGAAUACAUCGGAAUCUACUUUUUCGUGGGGGAUAACGUAGGGAAACUUACGCUAAUACCGCAUACGACCUACGGGUGAAAGCAGGGGAUCUUCGGACCUUGCGCGAUUGAAUGAGCCGAUGUCGGAUUAGCUAGUUGGCGGGGUAAAGGCCCACCAAGGCGACGAUCCGUAGCUGGUCUGAGAGGAUGAUCAGCCACACUGGAACUGAGACACGGUCCAGACUCCUACGUGAGGCAGAAGUGGGGAAUGUUGGACAAUGGGCGCAAGCCUGAUCCAGCCAUGCCGCGUGGGUGAAGAAGGCCUUCGGGUUGUAAAACCCUUUUGUUGGGAAAGAAAAGCAGCGGGAUAAUACCCCGCUGUUCUGACGGUACCCAAAGAAUAAGCACCGGCUAACUUCGUG